rnacentral:rRNA from 1 species
CCUACGGGCGGCAGCAGUGAGGAAUAUUGGUCAAUGGACGAGAGUCUGAACCAGCCAAGUAGCGUGAAGGAUGACUGCCCUAUGGGUUGUAAACUUCUUUUAUAUGGGAAUAAAACGUUCCACGUGUGGGAUUUUGUAUGUACCAUAUGAAUAAGGAUCGGCUAACUCCGUGCCAGCAGCCGCGGUAAUACGGAGGAUCCGAGCGUUAUCCGGAUUUAUUGGGUUUAAAGGGAGCGUAGGUGGAUUGUUAAGUCAGUUGUGAAAGUUUGCGGCUCAACCGUAAAAUUGCAUUUGAAACUGGCAGUCUUGAGUACAGUAGAGGUGGGCGGAAUUCGUGGUGUAGCGGUGAAAUGCUUAGAUAUCACGAAGAACUCCGAUUGCGAAGGCAGUUCACUGGACUGCAACUGACACUGAGGCUCGAAAGUGUGGGUAUCAAACAGGAUUAGAUACCCCAGUAGUC